ensembl:snRNA U6 U6 spliceosomal RNA
GUGCUCGCUUCAGCACCACAUAUACUAAAAUUGGAACAAUACAGAGAAGAUUAGCAUGAUUAGCAUGGCCCUUAUGUAAGGAUGAUACACAUUCGUUAAGCGUUCCAUAUUUUU